rnacentral:lncRNA from 1 species
GAUACUUUCUUUUUCUUAAGCGAUUCAGUGCCCUGAGUCAUAACCAUGUGGAAUAAUGGGCUCCUGGGAACAGAAGCAACAGCUGCGUGGAGGGCCAAAAGCAUGGAUAUUACUCUGAAUUUGAACUUCAAUCUUGGUGUAUAGAAAACUCAGAUAGGAUGGUAUAUAUUUUUGUAUAACAAAUGGGACAAAACGUUGGUGGAAAAUAUAUGUUUAAAUUUUU